CCUUACACUGGGGGAUAGCCUUUAGAAAUGAAGAUUAAUACCCCAUGGUCUAUAGAAGUGGCAUCACUUUUAUAGUAAAGGUUACGGUGUAAGAUGAGUAUGCGUCCUAUUAGUUAGUUGGUAAGGUAACGGCUUACCAAGGCUACGAUAGGUAGGGGCCCUGAGAGGGGGAUCCCCCACACUGGUACUGAGACACGGACCAGACUCCUACGGGAGGCAGCAGUGAGGAAUAUUGGACAAUGGGCGAGAGUGAUCCAGCCAUGCCGCGUGCAGGAAGACUGCCCUAUGGGUUGUAAACUGCUUUUAUACGGGAAGAAACACUCCCUCGUGAGGGAGCUUGACGGUACCGUAAGAAUAAGCAUCGGCUAACUCCGUGCCAGCAGCCGCGGUAAUACGGAGGAUGCAAGCGUUAUCCGGAAUCAUUGGGUUUAAAGGGUCCGUAGCGGGCUAUUAAGUCAGGGGUGAAAGUUUGCGGCUCAACCGUAAAAUUGCCUCUGAUACUGAUAGUCUUGAAUUAGUGUGAAGUGGUUAGAAUGAGUAGUGUAGCGGUGAAAUGCAUAGAGAUUACUCAGAAUACCGAUUGCGAAGCAGAUCACUAACACUAUAUUGACGCUGAGGGACGAAAGCGUGGGGAGCGAACAGGAUUAGAUACCCUGGUAGUCCACGCUGUAAACGAUGGAUACUAGCUGUUCGAUCUUCGGAUUGAGUGGCCAAGCGAAAGUGAUAAGUAUCCCACCUGGGGAGUACGUUCGCAAGAAUGAAACUCAAGGAAUUGACGGGGGCCCGCACAAGCGUGGAGCAUGUGGUUUAAUUCGAUGAUACGCGAGGAACCUUACCAGGGCUUAAAUGCAUUUGGACCGGGGUGGAA
rnacentral:rRNA from 1 species